CCCUCAUACUCACAAAACCCGAGCGCAAAUCAUUCGGGUUUAAUACAGUGUACCGGUACCCAGCCCCAGUACCGGUACUGAACAUCCAGUAUCGAUACCCAAUACCCCAAAUCUCAAACCCGAGAGCAGCUACUCUCUGACACGCGAUGGGGUUCCGGUACCAACUUCCAGUAUCGGUACUCAACCCUAUACUAUGCAAAGUGCAGAUUUUGAUGCCGAAAGCCUGUUCUCUCGCCAAAUAAGCUCUAGAAACAGGCAGAAACCAAACAGACACCCUCAAAACACCCAGAAUAGUUUAAAAUACUAUUCUUACACUAAAACCUUGC
rnacentral:lncRNA from 1 species